UUCUCUCUUGUGUAUAGUGAUGAUAGUAUAUAAUACAUUCCUCUGAAACUUUGAGUUUUGCAAGUAGAGAUUAUCCAUAUGACAAUGGCAUUUAUACACAAUGUUAGCUAUAUUGUGAUAUUUUGUCUUUGUACUUAAAGUGAGCAACAGUUUUUUUUGUUACGAAUUAAAGUGAGCAACAGAUUGUUAUUUAAUGUCAUCCACAUGUAUUUAAAACAAAAGUAAGUAAUUUUUUAUCACAAAGUAAUUUUGAUUACUUUUUUUUUUAAAUUAAUUAUAUUUUAGGUAUUAUAUUCUAUGAAUUUACAUUUUGAUCCUAAUUGCUUCUAAUUAAUUUGUUUUGCUUCUUCUUCAAAUUGUUUUACGGUCUCAAACAUCUUUCUUCUUCGCGUAAAAAAAAACUUUCUUCUUAUCGUCAAUUUUUUUUUCUUCUUCUUCUUAAAGCUUUCAAUAUAUGCCGCAGCCUCCACCACCGUCAUGUUAGCAUUCUCCGGGUCCUCCGCUUUUGUGUUAUCUGAUAUCAAUCUUUACUACAACCUCUGCCACCGAUCUACCAAAUUUCUUCAAGAUUCUAAAACUAGUGAUUUUCAGUUUCUUAGAUUUUAUGUUUUUUAGCAUAUUUUUUCCUGAUUUUUUUCCUUAUUUAAGAGUUUGGUUCAAGGGAAAUUAGGGUUGGAGUGAUUUUGGUCUAUUGUUUAUGUAAUUUGGAGUAUUAGGAAAGAUAUUAUUUUCAAACAUGUGGGUCUCCGUUGUUUAUGUGAUUCUAGAACCUAAGGAAGAGGUGAAUCGGCGUUUUAAGGUUGAAGGAAGGACAAGAAGAAGCGGCAAUUGCAUAAGAGGAUAAAUGACGAUGGCGACGAUAAUUGCAUAAGAGAAGAAGCAGCGACGGCGAAGAAGUGUUUUGUUGAAGGAAGGAUCACAAGUGAAGCGGAAAUUUUGGUUGCCAAUGAUAAGAAUGGAGAAAGAAGUAGUGAAAAUUUGGUGGCUGAUCGUAAAAUUUGGUGGCUGGAGCUUGUUGUGAUAAAAUUGGAUCGUAAAGUGAAGCAUUUACAUAAAUAGCCUAAAAUAUAAUUAACGAAAAUCAAGUAACCUAAAAUAUAAUUAAUUGAAAAUAAAAGUAGUCAAAAUUACUUUGUAGUAAAAAAUUAUUUAUGUUUGACCUAGAUACAUGUGGAUGAAUUUCAUUGGUGUCACAUUAACAUAUGAUAUAUACCCUCAAUUUAUGUGAGGGUAGAGAAGUAGUCACUUUUUUUUAUCAAACUUUAUUUCAUAUCGAACUCCAGAUUAUCAGAAUCUCUUCUGAUUUUAAUAGAAGGUUGAUCAAACUGACACCUAAUACUUUCAUCUCCUAGUACUUUCAAGCAUUUCAAUGUAACUUAAUAUGAAUGAAAAAUUUCCUGCCAUAUGUUUUAAAUAAUGGACCAUACAUUAUUAUUCUAUGUGCCCAUUUUGGCAUUAAGAUCUUAAUUUUUUUUUAUCAAAUAUUUUCAGAGUUGGGCAAUCACUCAUUUUAAUUAUAUUUCAAAGAAUAUAGUACUGAAUUUUGGAUGAGUUUGGUCCUUAUUAAGAUAAAAGGUCGAUGUCUCUAGAGAAAAUAGUGAAGUGGACCAAAUAUCUACCUUUGAUGAUUAAUUUUNNNNNNNNNNNNNNNNNNNNNNNNNNNNNNNNNNNNNNNNNNNNNNNNNNNNNNNNNNNNNNNNNNNNNNNNNNNNNNNNNNNNNNNNNNNNNNNNNNNNNNNNNNNNNNNNNNNNNNNNNNNNNNNNNNNNNNNNNNNNNNNNNNNNNNNNNNNNNNNNNNNNNNNNNNNNNNNNNNNNNNNNNNNNNNNNNNNNNNNNNNNNNNNNNNNNNNNNNNNNNNNNNNNNNNNNNNNNNNNNNNNNNNNNNNNNNNNNNNNNNNNNNNNNNNNNNNNNNNNNNNNNNNNNNNNNNNNNNNNNNNNNNNNNNNNNNNNNNNNNNNNNNNNNNNNNNNNNNNNNNNNNNNNNNNNNNNNNNNNNNNNNNNNNNNNNNNNNNNNNNNNNNNNNNNNNNNNNNNNNNNNNNNNNNNNNNNNNNNNNNNNNNNNNNNNNNNNNNNNNNNNNNNNNNNNNNNNNNNNNNNNNNNNNNNNNNNNNNNNNNNNNNNNNNNNNNNNNNNNNNNNNNNNNNNNNNNNNNNNNNNNNNNNNNNNNNNNNNNNNNNNNNNNNNNNNNNNNNNNNNNNNNNNNNNNNNNNNNNNNNNNNNNNNNNNNNNNNNNNNNNNNNNNNNNNNNNNNNNNNNNNNNNNNNNNNNNNNNNNNNNNNNNNNNNNNNNNNNNNNNNNNNNNNNNNNNNNNNNNNNNNNNNNNNNNNNNNNNNNAUAUCGAACUCCAGAUUAUCAUAAUCUCUUCUGAUUUUAAUAGAAGGUUGAUCAAAUUCACACCUAAUACUUUCAUCUCCUAGUACUUUCAAGCAUUUCAGUGUAACUUAAAAUGAAUGAAAAAUUUCUUGCCAUAUGUUUUAAAUAAUGGACCAUACAUUAUUAUUCUAUGUGCCCAUUUUGGCAUUAAGAUCUUAAUUUUUUUUUAUCAAAUAUUUUCAGAGUUGGGCAAUCACUCAUUUUAAUUAUAUUUCAAAUAAUAUAGUACUGAAUUUUGGAUGAGUUUGGUCCUUAUUAAGAUAAAAGGUCGACGCCUCUAGAGAAAAUAGUGAAGUGGACCAAGUAUCUACCUUUGAUGAUUAAUUUUCAAUAAUUCCGAUUAUAGAAUAUAUUUAAGAAUUCUUGCUCAGGAAAAUUCUUUACACAUGCAUCCAAUGAUAUGUUGUCACGUCAUUUAAUGAACAUGACACAUCACGUGUUUUUAAAUAUCAUUAUUGAACACAUGUGUAAAAUAACUUUAUACUAACGGUGCAUAUAAAUUAGCUCACCCAAAUUGACACCAGAGAGAAUCGAACCCAAAACUUUUUUUUUUUUUGAAAACUUGGUAUCCGGCCUUAGGACCGACUAAUCCAAGGGGACCAAUCCCACCGCGAACCUGAGACCUUAAUGAGAAGCACACUCUCAGGUCCAAAACCAAUAUCACCAGACCAACCCAAGUUGGCUGGAGCAACCAUAUUAUAAUGAACGUAAUUAAAUAUGCAGUUGUUUAAGUUUUUUCUUUGCAAAAUUAAUUAUUAUAUUGCAUUUUAUCUGUAUCAACACAUACCUUGUUCGCCCUUUUGACUAAGAUAAUAUGUAGUAUAUGUUCUUAUCAGUUCAAUAUCUGACAUGCAACUCAUUGAGCCAAAUAUUAAUAUAUGUUCUUACUCAAUAUAUUUUCAAAGAAGCCAAAUAUUAUUACAGUUUGUGGGAGAGAAAUCACUAUAAUACUGGAUUUCUCAAGUGUCGCAUUUGCGUUGUACUGUUGCAUUGGUCGGAGCACCCCACCAAAAGAAGAAAAAAAUUGUAUUCGACAACCAAUGCAAUUGGAAAUAUCCGGCGGUCAUCAGAAUCUCCAUUCAUUAUUGCAAAAAUCUGUUAUCAUAAUUAUUAUUCUGGUUAAUGCAACCAUAAUAUUUAGGUUUUUGACGGAAAGUGAGAUAAAUUUUUUACAAUGCAUAAAUUUAUUUUUAUCAUUAAAUCAAAUGAAAUGUUAUUUGACAUUAUUGAUCUAAUGAUAAAAUAUAUUCAUUUAAUAUUAAAAAUAAAUUUAUGCCUAACAAAGGACUUGUUUCAAUUGUAUGUUAGACAUAAAUCUAAAUUUUUAGCUUCUGAAGUUGGCAUUGUAAAUUCAAAUUUUUUCUCUUCUUAACAUUAAGCUCCUCACAAGUUAAAAGAAAGCUAAAAGAAAAUCUUAAAAGUCCAAAAAGGUUAAAGAAAGAGACAAAAUAAGUUGUUUGAAGCAUGUGAUAACCAUUAACCAAUGAGUCCAACCUUCAAAAUUCCACAAAAGGAAGAUAUUUCUAAGAUCAAUAAUCCCUCCAAAAAUAAAAACUAAUACUGGUAUUUUAUUUUAACCACCAAUAUCCGGCUUACUAGACCGUCUAAUCUAAUUCAAAUGUCACUUAUAACACCGAGUGGUUUUAGGCCCUCUCGAUCAUAGUUAUAUGGGAUCGUUAUAUGGAAUUGAACCGUAGUGAUUCCUACCAAGUCUAACGCUAAUUACAAAUUUACAAGAACACUAAUAAUCUAUCUUUCUCUCUCUUCUUUUGCCUUCAAAUUUGGUUUGGUUUGACCUAUGAACUGCAACACAUUUAUUAAAAGAGGACCAAUGUCACAAGCUAUGCGUCCUUUUAACGACACUUACAUAAUUUAAUUAAUUUCACAAAAUUCAUUACUUCAAUGAACUCAUUUUAACAUUUUUUAAAUAAAAAACUUUAAAAAACCAUUUAUUUUCUCAAAUCCCAAAAAAGAAAAAUCACAUAAUUUUGUGAGGCAAAGAUUUGAGGGUUCUUUCUCAACGAAAAGUACCAGUGAUGGUGAGAUAGGUUACUCUUUACAAGCUCAUAGAUUUCAAAAUUCAUCAUUUUCCAAUGACCCAUUUCUCUGUUUGUCUUUCUUUUGCAGUUUCAGAGGUAAAAAUUGAAGCUUUUUUCUUCUACUUACUAGAUCGGGAUUCAAGUUUUGGAGCUAAGAUUCAAAAGGGGUUGCGUUGAUCUGCAUCAAGAUGCUUAAUUUGCUUUGAAAAAUUCAUUUUUUCUACCUGAUUCAGCUUUUGAGAUGAACCAGUUAGUUGAAAGUUCUCAAAGGGUCUCUAGAGUUCAAGCUCCACUGGUAAUUUCAGCUGUUUCAAAUCGCAUUUUUUUGGUCAUGGUUUUCAUUUUCAUGGCAUUUGAGACAUACCCAUAUGAUUUAUUUAUUGCAUUUUUUUAAUAGUUUCACAUUUGUGUUUUUAAGAGUUCAAUUUAUGAGUUUUGUGCUUGAGCUGUUGGUUUCUAAUUCUAUCAGUAUCUGUCUAUGUUUGAAGCAUAAGCAAAGAACUAAGUUGAAUAUAAGUUGUGAUUUCAGUUAAUGGGAUAAUGUAUAGAUAAGUUUUCUUAAAUGGGCAAAAACCCUCUUUUUAUUUUUUAGGGUUCUUUGUUUGGGCUAAAUCAAAAUUGGAUCUUAUAUGUAUAUUGUUAUAUUAGCAUACAUUAUAUGUUUGCUUCCUAAAUUUUAAUUGUAAUACCUAAAAUUACCAGAGAGCCCGACUUUUUUUAAUAAAUAAUAACGGGGAAUUGAGAAUUUUUUAUUAAUUAAAAUGACACUAAUGACCAUAUUACAAUUGUUUCCGGUGAUAUUUGAACUUCAAUUUUGAAGUUAUACAAUCGAGUUCUUACCGUUAAGCUGACACCUCAUGGGAUAAGAGCCCCACUAUAUAGAAAUGAUACUAAGAUAAUCAAGUCCUUAUGAAUCAAAUAUGCAUUAUCCCAUUGUUUAAUAGAUAGUAAUACUAAAAUGAAAGAACUGCUGUCGUUUUUGAGUUUUGAUUUUACCCGGUGUCCCUAUUCAAGUCCAGCUGCCCAACCAUCUAGGCUUUUAAUAAUGCAUAUGAAUUUGCUGGACAUCCAUCUAGGCUUUUGAUAUUGCAUAUGAAUCGAUCAUUCCUUAAUGCUGGACAUGAGCAUAUGCUUUUACUUUUUGUCCGUAUUUCACUUGUGUUUGGUUUGGGUGUUUUAGGUGAUGUUUAUAUCUAGUUAAAUUAACUUUUUUGCAAGUAAAUUAUCUCUUAUUGCAUAGAACGUUCAUCGGUAGCAUUAAGGAAUGACAGGAAUUGUCAAAGACAGAAAUCUUUUGAAAUUUUUAUACUCAAUGAGAGAUCCUUAGAGGCUUGAAUGUCNNNNNNNNNNNNNNNNNNNNNNNNNNNNNGUAGCUUGGGCUGAGUGUAACACAGAGAGAGCCAUCUGUGUCUUCAUUUUCUUUGCUAUGUCUUAGCACUUCAUUAGGAAUACCCAUUAUUAUAAUUAUAACUUUUUGAAUUAGGUUCAUGAAAACACCAGUGGGACAGAAGAAUAUAGAACCUGUAUCCUUUACCGCCGACUUUACGGGGCAGGUGCUUGUAGACCGUUAGAUUAAGAGAGAGAACAUUCUAUCUCUUAAUCUAACAGUCGGGUGCACGUUAAANNNNNNNNNNNNNNNNNNNNNNNNNNNNNNNNNNNNNNNNNNNNNNNNNNNNNNNNNNNNNNNNNNNUCGGGUGCACGUUAAAGCCGUCUCUAAAGGAUCCAAGUAGGAUGGAAUUGUCCACCUUACACAAAGUAUGCUGUCUUGCCUUCACCAAAGAGAUAUCCUCCAAACUCUACUCGAGAAGUAUGCAACCAAGUACUGUUGUUCUAGCAUUUUAGGAAACAUCAUUAUGACACCCAAUCUAUCUGAAUCUCAUCAGGUGUCUUAUUGGGGGCUCUCAUUGAUGCAUAUUAUGUGUUGGUAAGCUGUGUCACUUUCCUACUUACCUGUCUUUUCUGAAAUCCUCACUACUCUUUGAAUUGACUACCUACCCCUCCGGCCUAAACAUCCAUUGCAGCGUUCUAUGGGAUACUUAUCAUCUUUCAUUCUGAAAUGUCAAAUCACCUUGAUGGUGAUUAGUUCUGUCUAGUCACUUAUAAUUGUCAAUUUGCAUCUUUUAACACUCCUAAAUUUUCUCAUCUACUUUGGACCUUAAUAAUUUUAAUUCUGUCUCCAUCUUUCUUUUAUCAAAUUCAAGCUCUUGAUUGUUGUGCUUCAUAAAUUCAAGUUUAUGAAGGAAAAUUCCAGUGCAUGUAUGUAUCAGCAGCUCCUUUUGUUUUAUCAAAUUAAAUGUCGGUGAAUAAUGAAACAUGAAACUAAUAUUCCCUUGGUUGUUUGAUGAUUUCAUGAUGCACGAAUGGGAAUAACUUGGUGGUUUUUUUUUUAUUGCUGAUCAACCUCUGUGCCCAACUUGACACAAUGAAAAUAAAAUGGUUUCAUUCGUAAUUAAUAAAUUUUCUCGAUAAAAUAAUUUAUUUUGAUAACUCAGUAGAUUGUGAAGUUAUUUGUCCGGAACUUCAUUUUUUUUCCUUGUAGAGAAAACCAACACAAGAACUGUUACUUUGGUACCUGAAGUUAGAAAUCGUGUGCAUCUGUAUAUGCUCUUGGACAUUAUGCAUGUACAUAUUUUAUAGUGAUACCUUUUUGGUUCUUAGAUACUUUCAACAUAUACUAACAUGUGACGUUUCACAGGUGGACUCUGUUUCAUGCUACUGUAAAGUAGAUUCGGGACUGAAAACAGUAGCCGGGGCAAGAAAAUUUGUUCCAGGAUCAAAGAUAUGUAUCCAACCCGACAUAAACCCGAAUGCACACCGAAACAAAAACUUGCGUAGAGAAAAGACAAGAGUUCAGCCUCCUCUGCUACCUGGUCUUCCUGAUGAUCUUGCUAUUGCUUGUUUAAUUCGUGUACCUCGAGUUGAGCAUAGGAAACUGCGUUUGGUUUGCAAGAGAUGGUAUCGCCUUUUAUCUGGAAAUUUCUUUUAUUCGCUCAGGAAAAGUCUUGGAAUGGCAGAAGAAUGGGUGUAUGUCAUCAAAAGAGACCGUGAAGGAAAAAUUUCAUUGCACGCUUUUGACCCCAUCUACCAAAUAUGGCAAUCCCUUCCGCCCGUUCCUGGGGAAUAUUCUGAAGCUUUGGGAUUUGGUUGUGCUGUUCUUAGUGGUUGCCACUUGUACUUGUUUGGUGGAAGAGAUCCAUUGAAAGGAUCUAUGAGGCGUGUCAUUUUCUACAACGCUCGGACAAAUAAAUGGCAUAGAGCACCUGAUAUGCUGCGGAAACGUCAUCUGUUUGGUUCUUGUGUGAUAAAUAAUUGUCUCUACGUUGCUGGCGGGGAAUGUAAAGGAAUUCAAAGAACUCUUCGGUCUGCUGAAAUUUAUGACCCUAACAGGAACAGGUGGAGCUUUAUCUCUGAGAUGACCACUGCUAUGGUUCCCUUUAUCGGUGUUAUUCAUAAUGGCACUUGGUUUUUGAAGGGGCUCGGGUCUAAUCGCAAUGUCAUAUGUGAAUCUUAUUCACAGGAAACCGAUACCUGGACUCCUGUAAGUAAUGGAAUGGUCAACGGAUGGCGUAAUCCGAGCAUCUCACUAAAUGGUCAACUCUACGCACUUGAUUGCCAAGACGGCUGCAAGCUCAAAGUAUAUGACGGGGCGACGGAUUCAUGGAAGAAGUUUAUCGAUAGCAGGCUUCAUUUAGGUAGUUCUCGUGCUCUUGAUGCUGCUGCUCUUGUUUCCCUUAACGGAAAGCUAUGCAUUAUCCGCAACAAUAUGAGCAUCAGUCUAGUCGAUGUUUCGAGUCCAAACAAACGUGUCGAAAGCAAUCCUCACCUUUGGGAAAAUAUUGCUGGAAAGGGUCCUGUCAGGUCUUUAGUUAGAAAUUUAUGGUCGACUAUCGCAGGACGCAGUGGUUUGAAGAGUCACAUUGUUCACUGUCAAGUUCUUCAAGCCUGAGAUAUCAACAAGUUCUCUGGUAAGAUUGGUUACAAAGUUAAGGAAAUUAUUGGUUUCAGCUUAUGUUUUGUAAAGAUGAAGAUUUUGGGAAUAGAAUUGAGGACACUACUUCUCAGUCAUGAAUAGGGAGCAUAUAUUGUAAAUGUUGUUUCACUCUAAGGCUCUGGCUUUUCUUUAGUUACAAUAUAUAUUUAGGUUUUUAAGCCAUGCAUUGAUGUUGUAUAUGAAUUAUUGAAAACAACAGCAUAUCACAGUUGUAUCUUUAGUCGAGUUUAUUUACUUCAGUUAGUAGGGGGAAAGAGUAUGUCAGAUCCCAUGUUCCAGUUUGAAGACUAUAAAUGUGAACUUUGAAUUACUGAAGAAAUUUCCACGAACCUUAAGAAAUAAGUAGACUAUUUAUGAUUGUUGUAAUUUUUGGUCUCAAACUCAAUCAUCAGUUGUUUGCUUGAUUAUGAAGCCAUUUUGUGAUCUUCUCUCAUUCAAUAUUUGUUUUUCUUAUUAGAAUUAUAGUGCUGCUCCACUUGUUGGUGCCACUGCAAGAGCAGUUAUUUACAUUAUCCAUUGUAGAAAAAGGCUAAUCUGAGAAAGAGGGUAUUUGUUAGGAGAAUUUAUUUUGGCACCCUCGUGUUUUCGCGCACCUUGUUCGUUUUUAUUUUUACCAUUCUGCUACUUAAGUAGCAGACGUUAUAAAAAUGAGAAAUUUGAUAAAAACGUCUCAUAAUAUGAAAUUUUCAAAAUCUUACACGCUACUUAAGUAGAUAACCGAGUUUGCUACUAAACCCUAUACAUUAAAUUUUCAGGAUUUUACAUUGUUCUCUACUUAAGUAGAGAACUGCGUUAGCUACUUAAUUAGCUAACACCCCAUAUACAUGAUUUUUUCAUGAUUUUACACAUUCACCUUCUAGAAAGUGCAUAAAACAUGUUUUUACUAUGACAAUUUUAUAUUCUUAAGUUAGUUACGCUUCUUAAAGUAUAGUAUUGAUGUUCCUCAAGAUUCUUGAGGUGAUCCUAUAAGUUUAAGGGCUGGCUUAAUUAGUAAAAUGGUCCAUUAAAGACAUUUUUGGUUUCCCUUAAAGAAAAAAAGGUCCAAAUAGGUCCCUUAAAGAAAAAAAAGUCCGAAUAGGUCCCUUAAAGACAUCUCCGUUAAUCAGUUUGGUCCCUAAAAAGAGGUCUAAAUAGGACCNNNNNNNNNNNNNNNNNNNNNNNNNNAGGGACCAUUUUACUAAUUAAGCUAAGUUAUGGAGGAAUGAGAUUCAAACUAAGAUGAGUAGUUUGGUUCUCAAAGAUGCUCUCAUGCUUGGAAGGGAUGCUUUGUAUUUUUAAACUUGUGUGUUUUUUAUCUAUUGAUAUUUCCAAUGUGGCCUUGCCAAUUUUCAUUCUUGAUCUUGAAGGUGAUCUCUCAUUACGACUAAUCUAACCUUUGUAGACUGAACCAAAACCCCCCCUUGCCAAAGAAACAUUUUGGUAUGAAAUCUUUUGUUGCUACCAUUAGUUCAUGAUAUAUAUUUUUGAAUGGCAAUGUUAAUUGUUGGUCUUCCAACUCCUCUAACCUUUAGCUCUCAACUAGUUCAACCGGUUGAGCUACCCAUCACGACCAUUAGUUCAUGAUACAUGAAUUGGUUCAUAUGUGAAUAGUAAUUUAUGUCAGCAAUAACGUUAUCAUCUAUAAAUUUAUAAGAAAAACUACAUAAGAUUUAUUAUAUUUAGGUUUAAAUAAAUUACAUAAAAUAUCAUUUACAAUUUAAAGUUUGAUGAAAAACUAAAACAAAAGAAAUCAAUUCUAUUAAUUCACAUAACAAAAUCCACAAAGUAUUUACAAGCAUUUGAAGAACAUCCAGGCACAUCUUGAAACUGAUCCGCCGGUAAUUUCUUAGACAAAGCACCAACAAAGAAUUCAAGCAUACCAGAACCAGAAUCAACUUUCAUACCGGUGACGGGGAGCCAGACGAAUAAAAUCUUCCCCUGGAUCCCCGUCACACCGGAAACAUAACCGUAACUAAGAGUUCCGGUUAUGAAGGUAUCAUAGUAGACUAAUUGACCGGAGAAGCGGACGUAGCACGGAGAUUGGAGAUGAAGUGUGAAGUAACCAGAUGGGGAGAUUGUGUAGGAAGCUAUGUUGUUUGGAAGGAUGCCUUUUGGGAAACCAUAAUCUGGGAGGAGGUCAUGGAUAUCUGUGGGAGUGGAUAUGGCUAUUGUGUGAUGGAAGAUGAAUAUGAAUGUUGAGAAGAAUCGUAAGAAGUUGUUGAAGGUGGUUGUGGACAUUGUGCUGAGUCGUUGACUAUGUUGAUGAAUGAUGAUAAUUUGAUAUGAAUUUUUGGUUGGAGGUGAAAGUGUCUCAAUAUUUUGGAUUUCGUGUUUAUAGAGAAAAGGGGUGGAUGAGUAAAUUGGUUAAACUGAUCUAGUAUCAAAUCUUAAGUGCAUAUUUUUAAAUACUUUUCGUACCUUAAUUCAAAAUACACUUUUUUUUCCUCUGUAAUUUUAAGAAAUUUAUAAAUUUAUAAAUUUAUAAAUUUUUAAAAAUCGUAUAAGUUUUGUCUCUCAUCAAUCAGUAGUAGUAGUAAAUAAAUAAAGGAAAAUGCUAAACAAUGCUCCCGGAGCACUAAUUAAGGAUGCAAAAAUAGUAAUUUGGCAUUGGAGUUUGUGCAGUCAACUCCUCGAAAGUUUAAAAAAUAUAUUUUUUCUUUUCAAAACUUUCUGUUUUUGAUUUUCUUAACCAGUGCCCCGGGAGCACCGGUUAGCAUGACCCAUAAAUAAAUGCUUCACCAUGUUUCAUCAUGUGAAUCCCCCUAGCCAAGUGUGGAGUUAGGUUAUUAAAAAUAAAUUCUGAUAAGGCCUCGAGUCCCACGAGCUUGGAUAUUUAAAAGAUAAUGUUUUAUUCAAAAAAAAAAUAAAAAUAUAUAUAUAUAUAUAUAUAUAUUUAUACCGAAUCCGGAAUAAUUCACUUAUUCACUUUAAGAUGAAUUUUUUAACCACUAGACUACUUGAAAAAAAAAAUUCUUCUAAAAUUACAUAAAAAAUAAAAUAAAGUUCUUAUGAGAUAAAUUGUUCGGGACAAUUCAAGUUCAAUUUUUAAUGUAAAAAGUAAUUUUUAAUCAAAUUUUACUUACUUCAUAACUAAACCAAAGAUAUUAUUGGAGUGGCCAGAAGUUAUUACAGGAAGUUAUAACUCAAAUGGUAGCUCAAAGUAAUUUUUAAUCAAAUUUUACUUACUUCAUAACUUUAUCCAAUCAAAACUUCAUUUCUUCAUUCUAAAUUUCGUUCAUUCUAAAUUUCAUCUUUUAAUAUUUGUUUUCUAUCUCAUGAUUCUCAUCUAAUAAAAUAUCUAUUAUUAAUUUGAAAAGAUAUUUUUAACGGCUUCUUAUUUUCUGAUUAUUUUUAGAUAACAAUUUAUUUAAAAAAAUCUGUGAUAAAAAGAUACUCCGUACAAUAUUUUUAAUAAAUUCUAAAAAAAUAUCAUAACAAAUCAUAACUAAAAAUAUAAUUUUGCCAACAAAAAAAUGAAUUUGUUGCUUAAAAAACAAGAGUCGGUUUUAACGGAUAUAUGAAAAACAAAAAAUGGAAUAAGAUUUGGUUGGUGGCAUAGCUGGUUUGGUUAGGUAGAUAUAUUUAAAACCAAACCAAAAUCACAGUCUCACACACAUUUGACAAAAACAAGACCAACACGAAACAACAACACAACACAAUCAUGGCAAAACAAUCCUUAAUCUUCCUCAUCGUAUCCUUAACCUUAACCUUGUUCUGCAUCACAAAUUCAACAGCAAAAGAAUCCAUAUACGACCUACUUCCUAAAUACGGUCUCCCAAGUGGUCUUUUACCAAACACUGUCACCGAUUACACACUCUCCGAUGAUGGUAGAUUCGUUGUGUAUUUGGAAAAUACUUGUUAUAUACAGUUCGAUUAUCUUGUUUAUUAUGAAAAGAAAAUUACUGGGAAAUUGAAUUAUGGAUCAAUUAGUGAUCUUAAGGGUAUUCAAGUUCAACGUGUUUUUAUUUGGUUUAAUGUUGAUGAAAUUAAGGUUGAUUUGCCUCCUUCAAAUAGUAUUUAUUUUCAGGUUGGGAUUAUUAAUAAGAAGCUUAGUGUUGAUCAGUUUAAAACUGUUCAUUCUUGCCGUAACUCACUUGGAUCUUCUCCUUGUUCAUCUAUCUCAUCACUGGUAUUUACUCUUUUUUCUUUAAUUCUUUAAAGCUUCAAUUUUUAUAUUAUUUGUGUUUUUUAAUUCUGAGUUUAGGUUGUUUAAUUGGAUAAAGUUUCAAUUUUUAUUUAUUUUUUUAAUUCUGGGUUGAGGUUUAAGUUUUUUGAAGAUUAGAUUUUUAUUUAUUUAUUUAUUGUUUUGGAUUGUGAAUUUUAGGUUUAAGUUUUUUGAACACUAGAUUAGGUUGAAGAGGAAGAGAUGAUUUGUUAUUGUGGUAAUACUAUUAUAGGAGAGAUGAGCCUAACUUUUUUAUUUUCACAAAAUUGGUUUUUACUAUUUUCAAGAUCUACUCAACUAGGUUAGGUUUGGUACUUUGGCCAAUGAUAGAACAUUGAUUUAUAGCUGAUUUCUUAGAUUGAGUGUAUGUUUGGUAUGCCAGAAUCACGGUGGGGAUUUUGCAGAAGCUACGGAGUGUAGCUUUUAAAAAUCACGGCGAGUCACUGUGAUUCUGUCGUGAUACCAAACAUAGGCUAAGGGGUGUAUGUAUGUAUGUGUAUUGGAUUAGGAUUUUAAAAGACUGAUUUUUGUAUGAAAAGACCUUUUGAAAUCUUAAUCUGAUAAACCCCUUAGUAAGGGAAAUGAUUCUCGAGCAACAAAAUUUUGGUUUUUGUGUAUAUUUUUGAAUUGGCUGGAAGUUGUAGAGGAUAAAAAGUAAGUGAGAGAUGGAGAUAAAUGCAUAGGGUGUCGAAUAGCUAUCAGUAUUUUGAUGUUUGAGUUCGAAUAAAACAAUUGAUGGAAGUGAAUGAAUUGGAUUUCACUUCUCUAAGGUGGAUAUAGUUCACUUUACAUAGAAAAAAAAUGAGGUAUAAUAUAUGUAACUUAAUAAUAAUUCAAGUGAUUUCAUUACUGUUUGGGUUACUUAUUUAAAGCAAGAUCUUCCUUAGGUUCCCUAGGAGGGAAAAAUGAUUAAUCAAUCCAAUUGUAGUAUGAUUUCAGCCAGAAUAUGCAUUGAAGCUAAGUAGAUAUAAAUGUACCAAUUAGUUUUUGUGUCUCUCUGUUUGAAUUUUGAUAGGAAUAUUUGAACUCAUAUCUGUUUUGACAUGAUUUACAAUUAGUUUCUCAAAAAUUUGUUAUCUGCGGUAUCAGAUUCAGGUAUAUGGCAUAAAGAGCACAUGAUUCACUUUCCAUCUUUUGUUUUGUUCCAUUCCACAACUCUUUUCAAAACCAAACAUCUUUUGUUAAGUUACUAUAACCUUAUAGAAUCCAUUCUCUCUAGACUAACUGUGAAUCAGUAGCACUGAUUGAAUAUAAAUCUAAUAUGUUUUGCAUUUCUUACUUGUUUUGCUAGAAUUGCUCUUAUAUAUAAGGUUAGUGAAAAACUAACAUGUACAUUUCUUUUGCAACUUGCAGCUUCCUGCUCCACUGGAAGAAAUUCCCAUGCUUCUCACAGAGUAGAUGCAAUGCAGCCAGUACUAUACUGGCAUUGUAUGGUAUAAUGGAGAGAGACAUCUUCACCUGCAAUUGUACCUCUAUUGCUAGCUAGCUUAUGAAUCAAGAGUCCGGACUCGCAAAUAUCGAGUCUGGUUGGUUGAGUUAUAUUAUUAUUAUUAUAUAUCCUUACGAGACUUUCAUGAACAUAUUAUGUACAUAUUUAAGUUCGGAGACUUCGACUUUGUGUGUGCUUUCUGUUUCCAGUUAGACUUCUUUUGCGGGUAUAUAUUCAAUGGCUAUGCAGUUGCUACAGCAUUUAGAGGAUCCACGCUUUAAUAAUAUCCCAAAUGUUUUCUUUUACUCUAUUCCUAAAUUUUGGUUGUUUAAGUAUUUUAAACUUGUUUAAAAAAAUGUGUGUAGUAUCUUUCUUUCAAAUAUAGCUAGACCCUUUUGGAUAUAUAACUAAGUUUUAAUGUUACUGUAAUUUAUAGUUUUACUUAUGACAACAAAUUGAAAAUAUCUUAUGAUCCACAAUUUUAGAAACAGCGUAAUUUUUAAUUUUAAAUAUUGUUUACUUUAUAUCAGAAAAAAAUAAAUUUAUGAGAAACAUCAAUAUAUGAAAUAACAACUUAAGAAAAAUAAAAUAAAAUAAUUGCUUAAAAAAAAAAAUAAUAAAUUUGUCUCGGUAUAGAAGAGUUUCAAGUUUGAAAACUUGAGUGUUGAGUGUGUAGAAUUUUAUAUGGAUAGGAGGCGUUUUAGAGAAUAACAGGUAAAGAGUUCAACUCAAAUGGGAAAUACAAAUAUAUAAUCAACAUAAAUUGAGUCAACCUAAUCGAGUCUAACGGAUGAUCUUAAAGCACGAGCAUUGAGAGCGUCUACAAGAACCAACCAAGGAAUGAACAUUGACGAAUAAACCGACCGUCAACACGGACCGAUUCACGUCCACUAGUCCCUUGUGAUAAAUCACAACAAGCAUCUCAGGGUCUUUCGAGCCAAACAUUCCUACAUCACCCGAUAGAGUGACGGGGAUACGAGUAGAGACAUAAAUUCGAUGACGUGUCAAUACAAUAUUUUGAGAAACUAAUCUCCCCUUCACCUUCACGAAUCAAUACAAUAUUUUCCACCAAAAAUCAAUACAGUAUUUUUUGACCAAAGCUUCUAAGUUCCCGCGGACGUUACAGAGUUCUCCACCACCGCCGACGUUGCAUCCGCCGCACCGCUCUCAUCCUCUCANNNNNNNNNNNNNNCCCAGGCAGGUAAAGUAAGCAACCCUAAAACUGAGAAAUUGCAUAAAAUACUUAGAAAUUGGCAUUCCCAAUUAUUAUUCUAUUGAUUUGUCUAAAUGGGUUGCCCUAAAGUUUGGAAAUUUAGCUUGAUAAUUAUCUGGGUAGUGUUUUGUUAUUUUGUGUAUUUAGCCAAAAUGUUCUUCCCAAAAUGUUGUUCUAUUUUACUGAUUGGAUCUUAAAAGUAGCAUAGGGGUUCUUGUAAUUCUGAAGCGCCUUGUUUGCUUAGCUGUUUUGGUGUGUUUCUUUGUUUCGGUUUCCUUUGUUAUAGGGAUUGGUUAUUCUGUAUUUGUUUGGGUUUGUACAGACAAGGCAUUUCUUAUGCCAAAUUUUAAUAAAGCUUCUUCCUUUGCUGUUGCAAAAAAAGAAGACAUUAACGAAUUGGUUAUCCCAAAAGUUGUAAAUUUAGCUAACUAACAAUCUGGGCAGUGUCUGUUUGUUCAUGUGCAGAAUUGUUUUAGGUGUUGUGUGCAAAAAGAAAGUUGUAAUUGUAGGUAUUGACUCAUGUUUUGCUGGUUUUUUCUGUUUUGACUCAUGCUAGCCAAAAAAAUAUUGUGGUUAAAAUUGUGCCCAGGCUCCAAUAUAAUCCUGGCUCCGCCACUGCGCCAGAUCCCCCACCGCCAUCACUUUGAGGUAACUAUUGAUUUGUUAGGGUUUUUGAUUCGAGUAUGAAGUUUCUCAACUCACUUUGUGUUUUUUGAUUUAGGGGAACAUACAAAUUAUUUGAUCUGUUUCUAAUAUGAAGUAAAAAUUGGAUUUUUUGUGAUUCAAAUAGCAUGUUCAUUAUCUACUUGACCAUUCCAACAAGAUAAAAUCCCAAUCCUCAUGAACCCUUUUGCUCUAUAAUUCCUUCACUGGUUCAUUCCAUUGUUGGGAUUUGUUGUAUUUUUUUUUUUAAAAUUUUCUAGGUUUUAAGUUUAACCAUGAAUUCUUGAUUUGAAUAUCAAUGUAGGUCAUUUGAUGAAUUUUGUUCCCCUAGUUCGUUUUUGUAUUUUACGAGUCAGCAUGUUUGAAGCACAAUUACCGGUGCUACGUGUGCAAAAACAUGACACAUCAGCUAAAAAAUGCGUCUUGGGAUCAUUUUAAAAAUUAUUUUCUUAUGAGUCAGCAUGUUUGAAGCACAAUCACCGGUGCUACGUGUGCAAAAACAUGACACAUCAGCUGAAAAAUGCGUUUGGGAUCAUUUUAAAAGUGAAACCAAAGUGUAGGGUUAAAACGAAAUGUUUUUAAAGUUUAGGACCAAAACUCAAAUGACCUAUAUUUGGAGGACUACUUGGUUAAUUAUGCCUUAGAACAAAUUGCACUCUUUGUAUCAGAAAUAAGUCUGAGUCACACUUAACUCAGUUCAACUCGCUGGAAAACGCAGCCGGAGUAACUCGUCGGCCGCCACACACCCUAAGAAUCUCCGUCCAGGUUUUCCUCUUUUAAUUGUUCUGAAUUUUCCUUUCCCUCUCCUGUAGUAGCGUACACGAUGAUCCAAUUCCGUUGUGAUUUGCGGUUGCAGUAACACACCAGUAAUUGAUUUUUCUCGCACAAUUGCGCUCUAAAGCGGUGAAAUUGACUAAAUAAGAAUUCAGUAUGCAAUAGAUUGGUUGUGAGAACUGGGUUGCUGUGUUCUUCAAUUUAUCAUUCAUAUGCCCCCAUAUUUAUUUGUGACUUUAUAUGUCCUAUUUGACAAUAGUAUUAAAUAAUAAUAAUAAUAUUAUAAACAAUGAUUAGUAUCUAUCAAUGCAAUAUUGUUAUCCAAAUCAUGACAAUAGUAUUUUUUGCAUUCUGUAUUGAACAUCUGCUAAAAAGUUCCAGUCUACAGAGAAACACAAAUGGAUUCAUCACAAAGUCCAGCCGCAGGGGGCAAUGGGACACUGAUCUCUCAAACUAAUGAUACAACAGCUUCUGCAGCAGGAGCUGAUGAUCCUAUGCAGAAGCUGAACCAGGUCAGCAACUCCAUUCAGAAAACCUUAGGCCUUAUCCAUCAGCUGUACCUUACAGUCUCUACCNNNNNNNNNNNNNNNNNNNNNNNNNNNNNNNNNNUUGCGGAGCUUGACAACAUGGUCAAAUUGGCGGAAAAGUGCAACAUUCAGGUUCCUAUGGAAGUUGUAAAGUGAGUCUUUUGCCUUGUUAAGUGCUUUUAUCUUUUCCUUUAAAUGACAAAAUAUGCUCCUUUUUCUAAUUUGAAUAUAAUCGUUGACUUAUUUCUGGUUUUAGUUUAAUCGAUGAUGGGAAGAAUCCAGAUGAAUUUACCAGAGAUAUUUUAAACAACUGUAUUGCAAAGAAUCAGACCACCAAAGGAAAAACUGAUGCUUUAAAGGUUGAUUCUAAUUCUUGAUUUUAUUUAAUAAGUGUGCUCUGUUUGUUUACAUUCUUUGGUCUUCCCAUAUAUUUAAUGAGCUGCUUUAGUCCAACUUAGCAUUUCUGUUGUGGCAGAAUUUGCGCAAGCAUCUUUUGGAGGAAUUGGAGCAGAACUUCCCUGACGAGGUUGAAACUUUUAGAGAGAGUCGUGCUGCUUCUGCUGCUGUAAGUGUUACUUAUUCGGUCUUUUAUUUCAAAGUAGGCCAGAAUGACCUUCCUACAUCAUAGGUUGUUCCCAGUUUAUCACUUGUAUAUAGAUUUAAACAUGAAGAGCAUUUUUUUGCUGCAAUUUACCCUAACUGAAAUCUUUUUGGUUUUCCUCCUUAGUUUUUGCUGUCCUUUGAUGGCUGUGGCUUCAUAACUUUCUUUGAUUAUGCCUUAUUUGUGUGAAUAGGGAGCAAGUGUAUUUGUGCCGAGUGUGUGAAGGGCUAGUUUUGACCUUUUAAAUCUCAUACAUGAAUGGAUCCAUAUAUGGGUUGNNNNNNNNNNNNNNNNNNNNNNNNNNNNNNNNNNNNNNNNNNNNNNNNNNNNNNNNNNNNNNNNNNNNNNNNNNNNNNNNNNNNNNNNNNNNNNNNNNNNNNNNNNNNNNNNNNNNNGUAGGACAUUUAGCUGUUAGAGGCCUAUUUCAAUGGACCAAGUUAUAUGGCUGUAUAUGUUUCCUGAGUCAUAGAAAGUCUCGUCAGACCCUUAUUAUGCCAAGUGUAUAGACUAUACAUUCGGUCAUCCUUGCCUGCUCUGCUAUCCUUGUAUUACGACUGAUGUCGUCUCAGUUCUCUCCCCUAAGGGAUAUGAGCUUGGUCGUAUGGACCAAGUAAUUUGGUACCGAACAAGAGGGAUUGCUGCCUUGUCUGGUUGCCAUACUAGCAAUUAAUUUAUUUCCCUUUCUUCCUACCUUGAAGCUUCUUGUACUGAUGAGUUUCUGUCUGCUUAUGCUCUGCAUCACCUUGAGUUCUGAUUACAAAUAUAAAUCAGACUUUGUAUUUCUGGUAGUCUUCUUUCCUUGUCUCAUAAUCGAAACAAGCAAGCAACAUCAAUCCAAGGAGAAGCGAAAGAUAUAACUUCCAAGAUACAGAAAAAGGAUAAUGCAACAAUUAUGGAGUUUACAAACCUCCCACACUUUCCCACUCAAUUACGUCCUGCCUCGCCUCCCCCCCCUCCACUUUUUAUAAUGCUCACUAUAGAUCACACCUCAAUUCUCCUUUCCACGUGGGAAAUUUUGCUAUUCUCAUAGCCAAUUCCUCCUAUCCAUGUGGUAUUAUGAUGCCUCCUGAUGUCCCUUGUUCUGCAUGCCUAACUAGUUUACAUUGGUUAUUUACCAUUCUACCUUCAAGUUUCUCAAAUGAUACCAAAAAGAACUCUGACCAAAUUGAAUCAUUGAGCCAAUUAUAAGACUUAAAAUGCUAUUUUUGUUAUUUUUCAUUAACAUAAAUCUCGACUUUAUUGCACACGUGUAGGAGUUGAAACGUUUGGCGCAAGCACAAAGUGUACUACCAAAUGGAGAUGUGAGGGUUAAAGGAGAGCAUUGAGUGAUAUAUUUCUGAGGUCUUUGCUUUUCUAUAAUUUGUAGUAUGGAACUCUUGAUAGUUCUCUCUCUUUUUUUUGGCCUUAUUUUUACAUUUGUCUGUAUAGUGUAUAUCAACAAUGCUUCCUUAUUCUUGUAACUCAUAGUAUUGUAUUGCUUACUUUUUAUCAAUGGAAUGCCAUUAUUAUAAUUAUCUUUUAUUGUGAGUAUCUUUGCAUUUGAGGGAAUUGGAAUUUUCCUAGGGUGGUAGUAAUGAAAUUGGUGGAGUUGGCUUAGACUUCUUUAUCGGUCUUUACUAUCUUUACCAUUAACAUAACAUUUCCUUCUCGAUUGUCCAACUAAGUGUGUGCUUGGCUUUUGCAAUAUAUUCACAGCUACAUUUUGAAGUGGUAGACUAAUAGCUUUGGUUUAGCGUUUGGGUAAUGUUACACUGCACAAAUAAAAGUUAAAAUAAAAUUUAUAGUUGGAUUGAAAUUUUAUAUCAUAUAAAUUAUUUAUAUAAAAUUUUACACAAAUCUAAAAUCAUUUGAUAAGUUAUUAAGAGACAUCAAAAUAAAGUCUUUUGCCCUCUUUUAUUUAUUUAUUUAUUUUUUUUAAAAGUUUUUAACCUUUGAUUGUUUUUAAUAACAUUUUUUAAAAUUUGUUUGAAAUUUUACAUGAGCAAUCCAUAUGAUAUAAUCUUUCAUUUUAACCGUGAAUUUUUAAAAUUUAUAUUUGUUUAAAUGUACAUAAGUGGUGUACUAUUAUUCAAACGUUACACCGAGAUAUCAUUAAUAUUAGUUUUGUCAAUAUUACCCUUAGUUGUUUAUUGCAACAAACUACUAUAGUUGAAAUGAAAUAAUAAAUGGUUAAGAGUAUCAUAAAAAGAAAAGAAAAGAGAAAUCACAAUAUAAAAAUAACAACAUAUGACUACCAUCAAGUGUUCCAUAAGGGUAGAAAAAUAAUAAUGAAUUGGUCACACAAACCAACUAACAUAAUUACCUGCAAAGUGGGGGUGGAUUAGGGUACCUAAGCCCAUCAAAGUGGGGGCAACCCACGUCAGAGCAUGGGCCUAAAUAUCUCUCAACUCUCUUCCUUGUUGUGUUGUGGGUCACCUAACAAGAUCACACUCUUUAAGGUGGGUUAGAUGAGGCGUGGCAAAAACCCACCACACAUCACAACUGAUAUUUGACCACACAGAUAUUAAUUAAUUGUGAAUAAAUUUUCGACAAUUUUUCCAACAUAAUUAACUGCUACAAUUCUUUUGUUGUUGUUAUUUUUACAAAUAUUUUAUUGUUUUUGAAUAUGAAGUACUCUUUUUAACACCUCUUGAUUUUUAACAACUAAUCCAUUAAGCUACUUUCUAAUCAAUUUGAUUAUUAUUAGAUUGGAAAAGAAAUCGUUAAUCUCUACCCUAUCAUCUUAGUUAAUUUAAAUGUGUUAACUAGUAUUGACUUCCUGACUGAAACUUUAAUUAUGACAAAAUUAUGUGAUUUCCGACUAUUUGCACGAUAUACAUGACAACAUGUAAGUAACAUGUGACAUGUUGCAUGAAAUGCAAGUAAGAUUUUGAAUAAAAGCAAAGUGACAAGAAAAUACAUGUAAUAAUAUACAAAGGACAAGUGACAUGUAAUAUUGUUCAUUUCCUAUAAAUAAAAUAUUGGAUAAACACAAUAACAACAAAAAGCAAGAAGCAUAAUCUUGCACAAGAGAAUCUUACUCUAUAGAGAAAAAAAGAGUUUUAUCAUUAUUGUGAAGAUUCAAGAAGCCUACGAGUCCAUUGAUUUUUUCUUGUUCACAUUGAGAAUGUUUUUUCACCAACAAAUUAGUCUACUUAAUCAUAUUAAAAAUGUGAUAAAAUGUCUACAUGAUGAAAUAGUGAGCCGCCCAAUUUUUUCUCCCACAUGCUUCAUACGGUUGUAACUUCAAAUGUAGUCUAUAAAAAAUUAUUUUAAAAUAUUAAAUGAACUAUAUUCUCAAAUGUAUGAAAUUUUCCAGCGCUUUUUAUGCAGUUUUUAUGUUGCAACUUUUAUGAUUUCAAUACAAAUAUAAUAUUAAAAUUUUCAAUGCUACAAUACCGGUUGUAUACAUAAAAUUUAACUAUUUAAUCUUGAGAUUAACAAUUUAAUUUUUAACUUGAAAUUAUAGGUAAAUAAUAAAGAUUAAAUAGUUAAAUUAUUAAGCUAAUGAUAUUUUAAGGUCUUAUUUAUGACACAUCAUAAAAAAAAGUUUGUUGGAACAUGUGACAUGAAUUUGUAUAAAAAAAGAGACUAAAAUUGAAAAAAGAAAAUUUAAAGUGACUAAAGUUUGAAGAAAGUUUUUAGAGGAACUAAAUAUAUAUAUAUAUAUAUAUAUAUAUAUAUAUCCGACCUUAUGAUCGACUGAAAUUGAUAUAUUUAGAGAGACUAAAAAUACAUUUAAUUAGUAAUUCAUAAAUGUCGCAACAUGCAUGAAACAACAUAGUUAUUAUACAUUAACGCUUAGGGCCCAUUUGAUUGUCGCAUAGAGAUUAACAUGUUAGAAUAAUUGUGUUUCAAUUGAUUAGAGAACAAUAUAUGAUAAAUUAGUUAUGAAUUUUUUCUUAUCUUGUCUCUUGUUAAAAUUCUUAUUAUGAAUAUGAACUUGUUUAGAAAUCAUUUGGAUAAGAUAAGAAAAUAAAUUACCGAUUUAUUCUAUAAACUAUAAUGUAAAAUAAAAAAUAUAAAUAUAAAUAAAAAAUAAAUAAAUUUGAUAUUAAAUUAAAUAAUUAAUUAAGUGAAAUUAGAAUACUUAACUUAAAAAAAUAUUAUUAAGAUUUUCAAUAAUAUGAUUAUUUUUUAAAAAUUUAAACAUGAUUUUCUUGCAAUGGUCGUUUUAUAAUGGGCAUAAUAUGUAAGAAAAUGAUAAAUGCACCGAAAGAAAUUAUCAAAAAAUAUGUGAAGAAUGUAAGUUAAGUUUUUUUUCCCCUCCAUUUAUGUCAGAUCCUAAAAAUUUCGGGAAGCAUUGAUUCGCAAUAUAAUACACUAGUGUAAUUUAUAUAUAAAUAAUAUAACUUAUACUUAUCAUGUCAUGUACCAGAUACAUGAAAUCAAAUAACUAUAUAUACUUAACUAUAAAAAAUAUAAUUAUAAAAAUAAAAAAAUAUUUUUUCUUAUCAUGGGUGCACUAAAUAUAUAACAAGUCAAAUAUUUCUAUCCAACUUCUUAUUCUAUUAUGUACACCGAACGGUAGUAAUAGUAUCAAACUAAACAUCUAACUUUGUAGGGUUAGUUUUUUGUAGGGUUAGUUGUCCUUCCUUAGUCUAUAGUCUAUACAAUAAAAAUGAAUGAGGAUGGUGAACUUUGCUUGAACUUAUUGGUAUUUAAUAAAUGUCCAAUACUAGCAACACUUAUAAAUACACAUCGAUAGGUUGAAAACAGUGCACACAUGCUAUGCUGAGAUUAAUUACCACACUGAUCUGUAAUUAAACAAAUAUCUUGAGAGAUGAAUGAACAACUUUCUUUCGCUAUCUCCCCUGUGGAGUACUUUUCACUGUUGCACACACAGUAGUGUGAAUACGAUAAUACCUUGUAUAUUUGAUGUGACUUUAUGACACAUAACACUAUUUAUUUCUUCAAUUCUCAUCACUCAUUCAAUUCAUGGUUAUUUCUUAGUAUCAAGUACUAUUUCAUUUUUCAAAAAAGUUAAAUAUUUUAAUUUUAAUGCAUUUACUUCAUAAACUUUCAUAAAAAUUUACUAUCUAGAUCUUUAAAUAGUAUUUUAAAGAUACUCGAUAAGUAUUCUUUAUUUUUUAAUGAGCCAUUCGGUUCCUAGGAGAAGGGGUUAUAGUAAUCGGAAUUCGAGAGGUAAGUUAAGUCUGACAAAAAAAUUAUUCCACCCAAUAAUCAAAUUUGGAUUCUCCCAAACGACAAAAAUUUAUUAACCACUUGAACUCAAUGUCUUAUUUUAAAAAAACCCAAUAAACCACAUAUUUAAACUGAGCUAGCUAACAAUAUACUACUAAUAAAUAUAAACGAACAAUGUAACUAAGAUGUUAAUUUUAAGUGGUUAACGAAUUCCCUUUAUGACGUAUCAUUCGGGAAAACUCAAAUUCAAUUCUUAGUAAAAACAAUAGAUUUUAUUUAUCUCGCGGUCGAAUUCUGGAUUAAAGGGCUCAUUUCCUUAACAAUUUCUUAUUUUAUUGUUUCAAUUUUUUGUACCCCCGCUUUUGUUGUUGGAGUACUGAAAUAGACUGAACUCAAGGAGAGAGGAAAUUGUACUGUUUUAUUUAUUUAUUUAUUUAUUUAUUUAUUAUAAUCUCACUGAAACUUUUUUUUUUGACAGUAUAAUCUCACUGAAACUAACUUCUGCAUAUAUAUGGGGAAGAAUGAAAAUGACAGGACAACGGGGAAUUUAAUUCAUACAUUGAAUUGAACCUAACCUACCUCUAACACUCAUUUCUUCACUCAUCUACUCUUAACAUAUUCUAUAUUGUUUGUUUGUUUGUGCUGAAACUGCGAUGAAGGAUUAAAGGAGAAAGUAAGAAAAUAUUACUUUUUAUUUUAUUUAUUUAUGAAAAUGAUAAUAAAAAUUUCAAUCUCUUUUAUUCCUUGUCCCAAAUUAUGAAUGGCAUCAGACAUAAAUUUGGCUCAAAUUAGAACUCAUGUAAAUAGAUAUCAAAGAAAUAUUGAAUGUGCCGAUAAUUAAUUGGUCUAGUGAUGAUUGACACGCGAAACUAGGUAGGGAGGACCACAAUUUGGUCAUCCACAACUACGAUCGAAGAGAGCAGAAACCACUUGAUGUCAUAACUGACCCAAAUCAGAUUGGACAGUCAAGUGAGCCGGAUACUAGUGGUAAAAAAUGAAAUAUUAAAUAUUAUUUUUUAUACAUUUAAUUAUUUAUUACUCUUUUUUACGAUUAUUUAUUUUAUUUUUCUCAUAUAAUCAAUUAAUGAAGGAUAAUUUUGUCGAACAAAUAUAAUAUACGUCGGAAUUUUACUUUUAAAAAAAAUAUUUAUUUAUAUUUAAUUAUUUUAAUUAGUAUCUAUCCUUUGAUAUACUAAAUUAAAAUUAUUUACUCAAUUAGUUAAUUAGUUAAAAUUUAGUUAGAAAUUAUUUACUAAGUAAUUUGUUGGUGUUAGUUAAUUAGUUAAAAUUUAGUUAGAAAUUAUUUACUCAAUUAGUUACUCUCACCAAUAAUUUUAACUAAAUUAUUUACUCUCACAAAUAAUUUUAACUAAAUUAUUUACUCUCACAUUAAAAAAUUAGUUAGAAAACAUUUAAUAAGUAAUUUGUUGGUGUUAGUUAAUUAGUUAAAAUUUAGUUAGAAAUUAUUUACUCAAUUAGUUAGUUAAUUGAGUCAUAUAAAUAGAAUACUAAUGUACACAUUUUACGAUUUUUUAUCAAUCAAAUAUGAACUCUUAUGAACUUUUAUCUAAUUAAUAAUUUAAACCCUAUGUGUAUAAUUUAAACCCUAUGCUAUCUUUCUACCCUAUGUGUAUAAUCUAUGACAUUAUGAUACUAUAACUCUCGACAAUAUUUAAACCAAACCUCAAUUUUGAUCUCUUUUCAAAUUUUUUUACUAAUUAAUAAUUUUGACUAUUAAAUUUAACGAGGUGAAGAUUUUCUUCACUUACCAAAAUUAUUGUGAAAAGUUUACAAUUUACCAAAUUAAAAAGAAAUAGAAUUGACAGAUGGACACGUUUGUUCAUAUAAUCUUAAGUUUAAAAUAUAUUUUUUUUACUCAAGCUUAUCAAAAUAUAAUGCUACCAAUAUUUGUUUGUCAAUAUCCAUGCAUCCAACCAAAUUACCAGCCAGACAUGUAGCUAGAUACGAUGUUUUCUCUUCUAACCCACCGUGUUUCUUUUAUAUCCCCAAUAUUUUAAUUUUGUCAUUGCAGAAAAAUUCGGUUCGCAGAAAUCAAAUUUUUUUUUGUGCAAAUUUAGAGUAAAUUUCGGUUUGGGUUUUUAGAAACCGAAAUUUGUUUUCAAUGCAAAAAAAAAUUUUGGUUUCUACAAACCGAAAUUUUCUCAAGGAUAAAAUUGAAAAUUCAAGAGUAUAAAAGAAACACAAGAUCGAGAGAGAAAACAUCGGUAUAUGCACCACAUGUAAAGAGAUACCCAAUUUAUAACUAAAUACUAUACCACAUAUACAAGAGAUUCCCAAUAUUUACUAGUACGAAGAUAUUAAAAGCAUAUGACCUUGAUGUCUACUAAUGGGACCCUUGUUUGGAUCAAUUAUUAGUUGCAAAAAUAAAUCAUACAGAUAAGAAAUAAGAUAAGGGAGGCAUGGAUGGGCCCUAAUCAAUUUUAAAAUAUCUUCUAUCUAAUCUAAUUAAUUGAAGAUGUAGGAGACUAAUAUAGGGAAUAAUUAAAUUCAUGGAUAUAUGAAAAUAUAUCCUCUUAUUAAAAUGUUCAACUCUUAGUUAAUUGAUUAAUCAUAUAUAGUUCAAACUAUGAAGAUGUAGGAGACUAAAACAAAUGGUAAAAUUCCACAGAGAAUCUCUGCCACCAGCCACCUCUUUCCCAAACUUCCACCACCGCUCUUGUCUUCNNNNN
rnacentral:lncRNA from 1 species